GCCGGGUGUGGGGGUGCAUGCCUGUAAUCCUAGCAGCUCGGGAGGCUGAGGCAGGAGGAUCACGAGUUCAAAGCCAGCCUCAGCAAAAAUGAGGUACUAAGCAACUCAGUGAGACAUCCUACCCUGUCUUUA
rnacentral:sRNA from 1 species